CGCGUAGGUGGCUUGUCAGGUCCGAUGUGAAAACCUGGGGCUCAACCCCAGGCCUGCAUCGGAAACCGGCUUGCUAGAGUCUGGGAGAGGAGAGUGGAAUUCCUGGUGUAGCGGUGAAAUGCGUAGAUAUCAGGAGGAACACCGGUAGCGAAGGCGGCUCUCUGGAACAGUACUGACGCUGAGGCGCGAAAGCUAGGGGAGCGAACA
rnacentral:rRNA from 1 species